UACGGGGGGGGCAAGCGUUGUUCGGAAUUACUGGGCGUAAAGGGUUUGUAGGUGGCCCGCUAAGUCACACGUGAAAUCCCUCAGCUUAACCGGGGAACUGCGUCUGAUACUGGAUGGCUUGAGUUUGGGAGAGGGAUGCGGAAUUCCAGGUGUAGCGGUGAAAUGCGUAGAUAUCUGGAGGAACACCGGUGGCGAAGGCGGCAUCCUGGACCAACACUGACACUGAGGAGCGAAAGCCAGGGGAGCAAACGGG
rnacentral:rRNA from 1 species